rfam:Oryza nivara chromosome 4, whole genome shotgun sequence.
AAAAAAGCAAACCCUAGAUUUUCGUGUCCAACUUUGACUGUCCAUCUUAUAUAAAAUUUUUUAUAAUUCGUAUUUUUAUUAUUGUUAGAUGAUAAAACAUAAUUAAUAUUUUAUGCGUAACUUGUCUUUUUAAUUUUUUUAUAAUUUUUUCAAAUAAGACGCAAGGUCAAACGUUGGACAAGGAAAUCAGGGUUUGUCUUUUU